rnacentral:rRNA from 1 species
UGGGGAAUCUUAGACAAUGGGCGCAAGCCUGAUCUAGCCAUGCCGCGUGAGUGAUGAAGGCCCUAGGGUCGUAAAGCUCUUUCGCCAGGGAUGAUAAUGACAGUACCUGGUAAAGAAACCCCGGCUAACUCCGUG